GCCCGGGUGGUGAAACUGGUAGACACAAGGGACUUAAAAUCCCUCGGCCGCAAGGCCAUACGGGUUCAAUUCCCGUCCCGGGCACCA
rnacentral:tRNA from 1 species